rnacentral:rRNA from 1 species
CCUACGGGUGGCAGCAGUGGGGAAUAUUGGACAAUGGGCGAAAGCCUGAUCCAGCCAUGCCGCGUGUGUGAAGAAGGCCUUCGGGUUGUAAAGCACUUUCAGUGGGGAAGAAAGCCUUGGGGCUAAUACCCUCGAGGAAGGACAUCACCCACAGAAGAAGCACCGGCUAACUCCGUGCCAGCAGCCGCGGUAAUACGGAGGGUGCGAGCGUUAAUCGGAAUUACUGGGCGUAAAGCGCGCGUAGGCGGUCUGAUAAGCCGGUUGUGAAAGCCCCGGGCUCAACCUGGGAACGGCAUCCGGAACUGUCAGGCUAGAGUGCAGGAGAGGAAGGUAGAAUUCCCGGUGUAGCGGUGAAAUGCGUAGAGAUCGGGAGGAAUACCACUGGCGAAGGCGGCCUUCUGGACUGACACUGACGCUGAGGUGCGAAAGCGUGGGUAGCAAACAGGAUUAGAUACCCGAGUAGU